rnacentral:rRNA from 1 species
GAUGAACGCUGGCGGCGUGCCUAAUACAUGCAAGUCGAGCGAACUUUUGGGAGCUUGCUCCCAAAAUUUAGCGGCGGACGGGUGAGUAACACGUGGGUAACCUGCCUGUAAGACUGGGAUAACUUCGGGAAACCGGAGCUAAUACCGGAUAACAUUUACUGCCACAUGGCCUUCAAUUAAAAGGUUGCUUUUAGCUACCACUUACAGAUGGACCCGCGGCGCAUUAGCUAGUUGGUGAGGUAACGGCGCACCAAGGCGACGAUGCGUAGCCGAUCUGAGAGGGUGAGCGGCCACACUGGGACUGAGACACGGCCCAGACUGCUACGGGAGGCAGCAGGAGGGAAUCGUCCGCAAGGGACGAAAGUCUGACGGAGCAACGCCGAGUGAGCGAAGAAGGACUUCGGGUCGUAAAGCUCUGUUGUUAGGGAAGAACAAGUAUCGUUCGAAUAGGGCGGUACCGUGACGGUACCUAACCAGAAAGCCACGGCUAACUACGUG